UGUGGGGUGGACUGGCUUUGAUGUGCUGCUGGGGCAUUAAAGGGAAUGACUGCAGGGCAGGAACGGCAGAUUAGGACCUUGAAUAUUCAAAAAAGCACGAGAGAGAGAGAAGAGGAAAGAGGAAGAAUGAAACUGCUUGUUCGCUUGCGAGUGAGAAAAAGAGACAGAGACGGAGUCAGCCAGCUGCCCCCGCAAAUGACACGUGGUGAAACAUACAUUCUGUAUUUUCGCUGAGGGUUGUUGAGAAGCCAUCUGAUGACCCACAGAACUGCCAGGACCAGACGGUGGGCUAGUCCAUGACUUCAGAGGCAGCAGAGGAAAGGAAGACACUGGGGAUGCAG